rnacentral:rRNA from 1 species
UGGGCAACCUGCCCUCAGCUCUGGGAUAACUCCGGGAAACCGGGGCUAAUACCGGAUACGACCUUCCCUCGCAUGGGGGUUGUUGGAAAGUUCUUCGGCUGAGGAUGGGCCCGCGGCCUAUCAGCUUGUUGGUGGGGUGAUGGCCUACCAAGGCGACGACGGGUAGCCGGCCUGAGAGGGCGACCGGCCACACUGGGACUGAGACACGGCCCAGACUCCUACGGGAGGCA